CACGACUCUCGGCAACGGAUAUCUCGGCUCUCGCAUCGAUGAAGAACGUAGCAAAAUGCGAUACCUGGUGUGAAUUGCAGAAUCCCGCGAACCAUCGAGUUUUUGAACGCAAGUUGCGCCCGAGGCCUUCUGGCUGAGGGCACGCCUGCCUGGGCGUCAC
rnacentral:rRNA from 1 species